rnacentral:rRNA from 1 species
GGCCUUGACAUACUAAGAACUUUCCAGAGAUGGAUUGGUGCCUUCGGGAACUUAGAUACAGGUGCUGCAUGGCUGUCGUCAGCUCGUGUCGUGAGAUGUUGGGUUAAGUCCCGNAACGAGCGCAACCCUUUUCCUUAUUUGCCAGCGGGUCAUGCCGGGAACUUUAAGGAUACUGCCAGUGACAAACUGGAGGAAGGCGGGGACGACGUCAAGUCAUCAUGGCCCUUACGGCCAGGGCUACACACGUGCUACAAUGGUCGGUACAAAGGGUUGCUACCUUGCGAGAGGAUGCUAAUCUCAAAAAGCCGAUCGUAGUCCGGAUCGCAGUCUGCAACUCGACUGCGUGAAGUCGGAAUCGCUAGUAAUCGCGGAUCAGAAUGCCGCGGUGAAUACGUUCCCGGGCCUUGUACACACCGCCCGUCACACCAUGGGAGUUUGUUGCACCAGAAGUAGGUAGUCUAACCGCAAGGAGGACGCUUACCACGGUGUGGCCGAUGACUGGGGUGAAGUCGUAACAAGGUAAGCGUAGAUGA